AUUCUCAACCUAACAAGUUCUUAACGGGACUUGCUUAGGCUUGGACUUGGAGGCUUGUCGGCUCUUAGCAGUCGGCUCCUCUCAAAUGCAUUAGCUUGGUUCCUUGCGGAUCGGCUCACGGUGUGAUAAUUAUCUGCGCCGCGACCGUUGAAGCGUUUAAUGGCCAGCUUCUAAUCGUCUCUUGCGAGACAGCUUUCAUCGAA
rnacentral:misc_RNA from 1 species